AUUGAACGCUGGCGGCAUGCCUUACACAUGCAAGUCGAACGGCAGCGGGGACUUCGGUCCGCCGGCGAGUGGCGAACGGGUGAGUAAUGUAUCGGAACGUACCAUUCAGUGGGGGAUAACUAUCCGAAAGGAUAGCUAAUACCGCAUAUUCUGUGAGCAGGAAAGCCGGGGAUCGCAAGACCUUGCGCUGAUUGAGCGGCCGAUAUCAGAUUAGCUAGUUGGUGAGGUAACGGCUCACCAAGGCUACGAUCUGUAGCGGGUCUGAGAGGAUGAUCCGCCACACUGGGACUGAGACACGGCCCAGACCCCUACGGGAGGCAGCAGUGGGGAAUUUUGGACAAUGGGCGCAAGCCUGAUCCAGCCAUGCCGCGUGAGUGAAGAAGGCCUUCGGGUUGUAAAGCUCUUUCGGCCGGGAAGAAAUCGCAUCAGCUAAUACCUGGUGUGGAUGACGGUACCGGAAUAAGAAGCACCGGCUAACUACGUGCCAGCCGCCGCGGUAACAC
rnacentral:rRNA from 1 species